rfam:Erinaceus europaeus cont1.792447, whole genome shotgun sequence.
ACUUCUCUUGAGGAUUCAGUAGAGUCUAAUUUUCUUCAUUAUUCAAUUUGGAUCCUGUUAAGUGAGACAGGCAUUCACUGACAAGAAGGAACAUUUAAAUUUUGCCAAAUAAGUUCAUUAGUAUUCAGAAAGCUUUGCAACACUCAUAUUUAAUAAACCUUUCCAUUACAGUGUAAGAAAU